rnacentral:lncRNA from 1 species
CUGUCAGUUGUUCAUUUCGUUCAUACCUUAAUUGCUUAUGGAAUAUGGUUUAUUUUCUGGACGACCACUUCAAAUCUUGAUUCGUGAAUACAAGUAUUGCCUCCAACUAAUCUACAUGGAUCUUUAUAAUAGGAUUCUUCGUAAAUAGAAUGUUGAUUACAAGGUGCUGCAAUUCCAUCGUCAUGCCAUUCACAUGGUUUUGCCUAAUUCCCAUCCAAUGACGUCUUCAGUGUUGCUGAAUAGCUGAAAGGAAUGCAGGAUUGAAUUUUGAAGUCAAAAUUGUUGGCUCAUCUUCGUAGUUAUUAUAACUAAGCCACAUGAAUCGUAUCAACCCUACGAAAACCUUGCACUGCUCUUAAGAAGUCAACUGCUCCAGCUCACACAGGUUAUCUAUUCACUGUUAAGUCAUAAUCCAGAUACUGAAGCCCUCAUAGUUCCCAUUCUUUGCAGCCACUAUAUUGUGGUCAACAUCAGGUUGCAAUGACCAUCACAAGUUAAAAUUUAAGAUGAUCUAAGAUUCGUUGCUUUGAGUUUAAUCCUUUGCCGCUGUUCCAUACUGACUUGAUCCGUUGGUGAAACCGAUGAGAGAUUGCUGAAAUUCAAGACCGAUAAAUUGACAAAUUGUGUAGUUAGCUAAAUUAAAAGUGCAUUUCUGGGCUCCCUUCUUUUCUGUGGCCCCGUUUCCCUAACUAACCACUAACCAACG